rnacentral:lncRNA from 13 species
CAAAGACCAACAUAUCUGCUGAAGAAUCCAGAUGCAAUUUUCCUAGGCUUGCAAGCACUGCAGUCUCAGUGUUCCAGGAAAUUCAGGAGACCGGAGAGACCAAUGGAUGAAACACGAGGAUUUUAUUAAGGUGGCUUAGCAGAUUAGCAUCCCAAGACUGAGUGCCUAACAAAAACAGGAUUUGACUUUGUAUACAUUCAGGAUGACAUAGCAACUAACAGGUUUACAGAAGCCAGAACAAAGAACGGUUAAUUAAUUUGUAAUAUGUCUUGUGAUGUACGUUACAUUUGAAAAUAGCAUUUUGAGGAACACAUUGCAAAUUCUUUGAGUGUUUUCUUGUCCUGUGAUCUUGCAGCUGGUCUGCAAGAAAAACAGGAGUCUUGAGUUAUCUGGGAACUUCGCUGGGAAUGUGGGGAGAAAGGAUAAGGUAGGUUUUUCAGGGAGUUAAUUUCAAGCAGAGCUGGAGGUUAGGUUUUAUAUUGAACACAACACAGUAAACUUUAUUAUGCAGCAAUUACAGUCUAUUAUUAUAUUAUUUAAUUUCCCUCUUCACAAGUGAUUCUCGUGCCACACCCUCCUGAGUAGCUGGGACUACAGGCAUGCACUACCACGCCUGGCA